rnacentral:lncRNA from 1 species
CCCCCCUCUGCCCGGUGAUUACGGCUCCGGGGCAGAGCGCACUGUUUCUCUGAUUACCAGCGUCUCCGGGCCAGACGGAGUGGGAGGACAGGGUAAUCAGAGGCCCGGUGGAGGGGCUUGUUAAGCCCGACGCCGUUGCAGUCCUCCCUGCUCAGAGCGGACCUGGAUGCACGUCUUCCAGGCUGCCUGCGGUUCUCCGCUUAAACACGAGCGAUCCCGUUAAACCUCAAGCACUCCCAGUCACCUGCCAAGUUCUCCCGGAGACACAAGAGAGGGAGAGGAGAAAAAAAAAUCCCUCUCUCUCUCUCUCUGUGCUCUCUCUGUGCUCUCUCUCUCUCUGUGCUCUUCUUCUGCUCUCUGCUCUCCCCAGCUGCAUACUUCGGCUGGUCCCGGGUUAGAGAGGCUCUGGUUCAGUCUCGCAGAGUUCCCGGACAGUUUGUAAACCCAGCGCGUGUCAGGCGUGGGUGAGGAAGAGGUGAGGAUAAAGGGGGGGGGGGGGAGUGGAACGAAAAAAGGGGGAGGCAGAGGCAAUCUGAUGGGAGGCGGCCCAGCUGCCCUAUCGGUCUGCCUCGGAGACGCCGAUCGGAGACCGCUCUGGAAACGACGAGGACCAUGACGAAGAGGACCAUGCUGACCCCCGAGGUCACGGCGAGCCGGCGCCGGGGGCUCCCCGCGUUGGCGGUGCUGCUGGGCCUGACCCUGACCCUGGUGGGGCCCGCCCAGCCCGGCCGGGGCUAUAGCCACGAGGACCAGGACUACUACCUGCAGGAGCUGCUCGCCAGGGAGCAGUAUGGCAAGAUGCAGGUGUCAGGGGGGGAGGAGCCCGCCGCCUCCAUGCCCGGCCCCCCGGAGACGCGGUUACGACAGACCCCGGCCGACAAGAAGAACCCCCGGGGCGGGAAGACGGACAGUAGCAGGAGCCCGGAGAAGCAGACCGCCAAGAGCAAAUCAGAGAACACAGGCGGCGGCAAGGCUGCCAAGAGCAAGAAGGGGGGGCUGAAGAGCCCCAACAGCAGCUCCGAGCGGGGGGGUACAGAGCACUCCGUCCCGGAGGGUGAGUGAGUGAACGCAUGACGCCACCGAUCUGUGAUAUAACCUGCGACAGACUCAGC